rnacentral:lncRNA from 1 species
CGCACUGGGAAGGGUGGGUGCGCACAGCCCACAUCAGACACAGUCCACUCCGGGGGUUGCUUACUAAACAAAUACCACACAAGUCACAGGUUUCUGUUUCUUUCCUUGCGCAGGAGGCUCUAUCCGGAAGCAGCACCCUCAGCCCCAAACUCUCCCCAUCACGCACGGGGCUCAGGAACCCUGAGCCAUGAAGCCAUGGGACACCCCUUCCCCACUUCUCCAGGCUGAACCGGUGAAUUUCUGGACAGGAGUGUGGGGAAGGUUUUCACUGGACCAGCCUCAAAGGGUGCAGUGUGGGGCUGGCUACCAGGCUGGACCCCUGGCCAAAGCAGUGAGGGACACGGAGUCAGAAGCAUU